AAAAAAAAAAAACCCCAUAAGGCACCACUUCGUGUAAGGCGGAGCACUGCCUUACCAUCUCUAGACAGUAGCAACGCCGUCGCCUUAGCAGCGCCUUAAAAACUAUGGUCUACUGUAAGUUCUUACCUUGGGAGUAUUAAAUGCAAAGAAGCAACUUGGGAAUAGACUAGGCACAAACCUAGCCAUUAGAUUGCGGUACCUUCUUUCAAAAUCCAUUCUGGUCCUUAGUAACAUUUCAAUCUCAGCCCUUCCCCUGCUCCUAUUCUGGUUCAAUACCCAUCCGCCAUCCAUCUUUAACAAAGAAAGAAUUACCUUUCUUGCCAGAUCAAGGGUGCUCUACGAUCAGCUCAACCACCAUGAGAGAUUGCUCUACAAUCAACUCUCUUGCUUUGUUUGCUUUGCCUUGCUUGCUUAUUAGCUUAGCUUGGUUUGAAAAGUCAAGUGCUAGAAAGAAUAAGUUGAAAACCCCUAAUUGUUUCUGCUAGGCCAACAUAUUUCCUUGGAGAACCGGUAAAUACUCCUGCUACAAAGUAGGGUUGUGAUAAGAAAUGUUUGAUUUUGGUCAACUUUUUGCGCAGUUUCAUAAUGUUCCUCACCAACGAUCCGAGGUUGGAGCAUAGUUGACGUUGAAUCUAAACGAUCAAUCAUGUCUACUUAUCUCUCUGUAUCACUGCUUAAGAAAGUUCUUGAGGAAGUUGAAACCAUCAGGAGUUCAAGAUCAAUGGUUCCCAAUUUUGAGCCGCCUCAAAUUGAAGCUAAUGGUGCAGUUAGCAAUUGCACAAAAUGUCUUCACUGUAGGGGUUCCUCCAAGAAUUUAUAUUAAACUCUAUAGGAUUCAAGCUUUACACACGCAGAUGGCUCCCUGAAAAUACAGAACCAGAAGUCUUAAUCUUUCUCUGCCAUGGUUAUGCCAUGGAGUGCAACAUCUCUAUGAAAGGAAGGGGAAUUCAGCUUGCAAUUUGCGGUGUAUGGGAUUGAUUAUGAGGGCCAUGGGAAAUCUACUGGAUUAGAGGCCUAUAUCUUUAGAUUUGAAGACCUUGUCAAUGACUGUUCUAACCAUUUUACAAGCAUAAGAAUGAAAAACAUUCUUCUUCAAUACUUUUUUAUUUGAAUAUAUUCCAAGGAAUUCUAAAGCCUUUACACUAAUUUGCACCCUCUUUUUUUAAAUCCAAUUACCUUAAUAUUGCUCAUGGCAAACAAA